rnacentral:rRNA from 1 species
UACGGGGGGGGCAAGAGCUGUCAGGAAUCAUUGGGCGUAAAGGGAGCGUAGGUGGGAUGGUCAGUCAGAGGUGAAAACCAUGGGCUUAACUUAUGGCCUGCCUUUGAAACUGCCAAUCUUGAGUACGGUAGAGGGAAGCGGAAUUCCUGGUCUAGCGGUGAAAUGCGUAGAUAUCAGGAAGAAGACCGGUCGCGAAGGCGGCUGCCUGGAUCGUAACUGACUCGGGGUCACAAACGCGGUUGGCGCGAACACG